AGUGGAAUUACUGGGUCAAAUUGUUCCAUUUAAAAUUUUCUGAGGAAUUUCCAUACUGCUUUUCAUAGUGGUUGCAACAAUUUGCAGUCCUACCAGCAAU
rnacentral:pre_miRNA from 1 species